rnacentral:rRNA from 1 species
UACGGGGGGGGCAAGCGUUGUUCGGAAUUACUGGGCGUAAAGGGCGCGUAGGCGGUUCGCUAAGUUGAAUGUGAGAACUCUGGGCUUAACCCAGAGCCUGCAUUCAAUACUGGCGGGCUAGAGUUCUGGAGGGGAUAGCGGAAUUCCUGGUGUAGCGGUGAAAUGCGUAGAUAUCAGGAGGAACACCGGUGGCGAAGGCGGUUCUCUGGGCCUUACCUGACGCUGAGGAGCGAAAGCGUGGGGAGCGAACAGG